rnacentral:rRNA from 1 species
CGGGGGGGGCAAGCGUUGUUCGGAAUUACUGGGCGUAAAGGGCCAGUAGGCGGCCAACUAAGUCGGAUGUGAAAUCCCCAGGCUCAACCUGGGAACUGCAUCCGAUACUGGAUGGCUUGAAUUCGGGAGAGGGAUGCAGAAUUCCAGGUGUAGCGGUGAAAUGCGUAGAUAUCUGGAGGAAUACCGGUGGCGAAGGCGGCAUCCUGGACCGACAUUGACGCUGAACGGCGAAAGCUAGGGGAGCAAACGGGAUUAGAUACCCCGGUAGUCCUAGCCCUAAACGAUGAAUGCUUGGUGUAACGGGUAUCGAUCCCUGUUGUGCCGAAGCUAACGCAUUAAGCAUUCCGCCUGGGGAGUACGGUCGCAAGGCUG